ACUUUAUUUUUGUGGGUCGUGGCCUUAUAUUAUAGGUCAGAUUACUUCAUUUAAUAAAAUAACAAGAUGGUAUCAGUAAGAAAGCUGGUAGAAAGUAUGAUUAUUCAUGGAUGUUAACAUUAUGGUGCACGACAUGGUACAUCUUUAAGUCAGGCACGAAAGACAACCAUACCUUAUACAACAACAUGUGGGAUUGGCACCCUAGGCACAAUAGUCCCAACAAUAACAUACAAUUCUCAGAUGGAAUACAAACACCAGAAUUCGAAACCAACUUAUGUGUGUGCUUCCAGAACCAGGCUACAAUGGAACAAAUUGCUUCCACAAUUACUAACUAAUACAUGCACAUUACUUCAUACCAAUUUAAUUACGAAGUAAAGUGCUAGCAAAUAUUUGCAUCAAUCUCAAACAUUACAUCACGAAAAUGGACGGACGCAACAAUCUUCUCCAUGGAUAUAGAUUAUUGAUGGAGCAACAUUAGGUUAUUAAAUGUUCAUAUAUUUGCAUAACAUUCUAGGGCAAAAGGGAUGGACAAAACAAUAUUCUCCAUGCAUAUGGUUUAUUUAUGGAGUAUGUUUAGGUUAUUAAAUGUCCAUAUAUUUGCAUAACAUUCUAGAGCGAAAAUGGAUGGACGCAUCAAUGUGCACCUUUAAUGCUUAAGUGUACUGUAGCAUGGCCAUGGAUAUGCGAUUGUUUAGUGUCCACCGUAUGGAUUUACAAUCUGGAUUUCCUUGCAUGUAGAGUAGUUCGUAAGUGUAUCUUCUACAUGGAUAUGGUUUAUUAUGGAGCGAUAUUAGGUUAUUAAUUGUUAAAUUUUAUUAUGCAUUUCCAAGUUUCUCAUGUGUGGUUUUUGAAAUUUGGUCAUUAAUGCACCCAAAAAUUAGAAUCCUCAGACUUAAUGUUCAUCAUCAAAUUUCAUUUAUUGUCAAAAUUAUAAAUGACCAGAUAAUUCGCUACAUUAAAUGAAUUCCUUACUAAUAUUUUGUUACCCCUCUAUAUAUAGAAAUGAACAAUAUGGCUAGCAAGCACCAGCUAAUUCUUGGAUCAGCACACCCAUAUUGUGCCUCCAAAAGCACUGAUUGGUUAAAGUAAUUCAAGUUUGUGUGCAUGGAGAAGUACACGGAACAUGUGCGCCGGCUACUGCCACUCUCGAUACUUCUCCUCGUUUGCUUUGUUGUUCAUGUUCAAUGUGGGAGAAUUGAAGACAUAGGUAACAGGAAGAUGAAUCUACCAUAUGGAUUGUGUGGACCACGUAAACAAUUUGGAAAAUGCAAGGACGACUGUUGGUGUUGUUUAGUGAGCCCAACCCCCGGCAAAAACAUUUGCUACGAGACACCUGAAAUAUGUGAUGAGAAUUGCCGAGUUUGAGUUACAGUUGAGACUCUUGGAUUAAUCAGAAAAAAUAUAUAGUCAUUAAUCUUUACGGCACCGUUCUAGUAUAUGCACAAGACAUAUAAUAACUACUCCCUCCGUCCCAUAACGUAAGACGUUUUUUGUCUUACAUUACGGAAUAGAGGGAGUACUUUUCAUGAUGAUUAUUAGCAUAUCAAUCUCCACAACUUCGGUCUCAUGUAUCUUUAGUCGCUCUAAAAAACCAUCAUGUUUCUAUCUUAA